CCUACGGGAGGCAGCAGUGGGGAAUUUUGGGCAAUGGGCGCAAGCCUGAUCCAGCCAUUCCGCGUGAGUGAAGAAGGCCUUCGGGUUGUAAAGCUCUUUCAGCAGGAAGGAAAACGCAUCCCCUUUAAUACGGGCCGAGAAUGACGGUACCUCCAGAAGAAGCACCGGCUAACUCCGUGCCAGCAGCCGCGGUAAU
rnacentral:rRNA from 1 species